rnacentral:rRNA from 1 species
GACGAACGCUGGCGGCGUGCCUAAUACAUGCAAGUCGAGCGGACUGAUUAAGAGCUUGCUCUUAUGACGUUAGCGGCGGACGGGUGAGUAACACGUGGGCAACCUGCCCUGUAGAUCGGGAUAACACCGAGAAAUCGGUGCUAAUACCGGGUAAUAUCUGAGAUCACAUGAUCUUAGGUUAAAAGAUGGCUCCGGCUAUCACUACAGGAUGGGCCCGCGGCGCAUUAGCUAGUUGGUAAGGUAAUGGCUUACCAAGGCGACGAUGCGUAGCCGACCUGAGAGGGUGAUCGGCCACACUGGGACUGAGACACAGCCCAGACUCCUACGGGAGGCAGCAGUAGGGAAUCUUCCGCAAUGGACGAAAGUCUGACGGAGCAACGCCGCGUGAGUGAUGAAGGGUUUCGGCUCGUAAAGCUCUGUUGUUAGGGAAGAAACAGUACCGAACGAACUAGGUCGGUACCUUGACGGUACCUAACCAGAAAGCCACGGCUAACUACGUG